rnacentral:rRNA from 1 species
UGGCUCACCAAAGGCUACGAUGGGUAGGGGUUCUUAGUGGAAGGUCCCCCACACUGGCACUGAGAUACGGGCCAGACUCCUACGGGAGGCAGCAGUAGGGAAUAUUGGUCAAUGGGCGCAAGCCUGAACCAGCCAUGCCGAGUGCAGGAUGAAGGCUCUCUGAGUUGUAAACUGCUUUUGUACAGGAGCAAAAAAGCCCCUGCGGGGGCUCUUGAGAGUACUGUAAGAAUAAGCACCGGCUAAUUCCGUGCCAGCAGCCGCGGUAAUACGGAAGGUGCAAGCGUUAUCCGGUUUUAUUGGGUUUAAAGGGUGCGUAGGCGGCUUAUUAAGUCAGUUGUGAAAUCCUAGUGCUUAACGCUAGAACUGCGAUUGAUACUAUUAGGCUUGAGUUAAGAAUAGGUA